rnacentral:rRNA from 1 species
AGUGAACGCUGGCGGUAGGCCUAACACAUGCAAGUCGAACGGCAGCACAGUAAGAGCUUGCUCUUACGGGUGGCGAGUGGCGGACGGGUGAGGAAUACAUCGGAAUCUACUUUUUCGUGGGGGAUAACGUAGGGAAACUUACGCUAAUACCGCAUACGACCUACGGGUGAAAGCAGGGGAUCUUCUGACCUUGCGCGAUUGAAUGAGCCGAUGUCGGAUUAGCUAGUUGGCGGGGUAAAGGCCCACCAAGGCGACGAUCCGUAGCUGGUCUGAGAGGAUGAUCAGCCACACUGGAACUGAGACACGGUCCAGACUCCUACGGGAGGCAGCAGUGGGGAAUAUUAGACAAUGGGCGCAAGCCUGAUCCAGCCAUACCGCGUGGGUGAAGAAGGCCUUCGGGUUGUAAAGACCUUUUGUUGGGAAAGAAAAGCAGCAGGUUAAUACCCCGCUGUUCUGACGGUACCCAAAGAAUAAGCACCGGCUAACUUCGUG